UUAGAUCAUAAUAUAUGCAACUCAAAGUGCAUUUAAAUUAUUUUGUACAAAACAUACUUGUUGCUUUAGCGAAUAAGAGAACAUGCAAGGGAAAUUCUUAUUUAGGCUGAUAACAAAAUCAAAAUUAUAUCUACAACUCCAAUCGUAUGUCUAACAAUUUAAAAUAAUUUGACAUAAAAAUAAUCAUAAUAAUGUAUGCAGCCAUCCGACAAAAUUAACCUAAAAGCUUAUAUUUUUCUCCAACCAUCACUAACUCAAAUUAAUUUGUUUAAGUUAAUUAUAGGAGGGAAUCAAGACUUUUAUUGAAAUCCAAGGGUUCAAGCAUAAAACCCACAC
rnacentral:lncRNA from 1 species